rnacentral:pre_miRNA from 1 species
UGAGGUAGUAGGUUUUGUAGUUCUGCGGGCAGAGAUUUUGCCCAGCGAGUGGAGAUGAACUAUAUAAUCUACUGCCUUGC